UACGAAGGGGGCUAGCGUUGCUCGGAAUCACUGGGCGUAAAGCGCACGCAGGCGGACUCUUAAGUCGGUGGUGAAAUCCUGGAGCUCAACUCCAGAACUGCCUUCGAUACUGGGAGUCUUGAGUCCGGGAGAGGUGAGUGGAACUGCGAGUGUAGAGGUGAAAUUCGUAGAUAUUCGCAAGAACACCAGUGGCGAAGGCGGCUCACUGGCCCGGUACUGACGCUGAGGUGCGAAAGCGUGGGGAGCAAACAGG
rnacentral:rRNA from 1 species